CUCAUCUGUGGUAAAGUGCAGCCAGAACGAAUAGAAAAUGUAUUGUGAAAUUGGCAUCGCGCGCAUAAAAACUUCAUUUUUACCGGUUUUGGACACCUGAAUUCAACGUUUACGGUCGGAAAUUAAAAUUAGAAAGGUAAGAAAGUAUUAUUAUCUGUUUUAUUAGCCCUGAAAGUGUUUUUUUAAGUCAAAUUUUGUGCUCUUAAAUAUGGCUAGUUCGGCCAGCCAGACAUAAAAGAACAUAGCUUUUCGUCCCAUUUGCUGUAUGUUUUCAUUCGAAAGUAACAUGAAUAUUACUUGAAACGAAAUUUAUAAACUAUGAAAGUUACAAUCCAUGUACACUUUGACAAUUCAUGAACUCAUUCUUGCAAUAGAUAUACAGUAUCUCUGAUGUAUAUUACAGUGUCAGUAUAUAUGUCUUUUCAUCACCAUUUCUCUGCCAAGUUUAAUAAACAUGUCUUUUUAAGUUCACUGUUUUCUUGAAUUAGAUAUUUUUCUACUAAAUUUUGCCCAACUUAUUCAGAUGCAGCCCAGAUGGCAUCAAACUAUGUAGAAUAUAGUUUAUAAACUGCCAUAUGCAGGCUAGUUUAUAGAUGGCUAACUUUAAUUUAAUGUACUUUCUGCUCUUUCUUCCUUUUUUAGUUGAAGUUAGUUGAUGGUGUAAUAUAUACGCAUCCUCAGAAAAAGCUUUAACAUGUAGUCCAUAGGAAACUCUGUGCAAGAAUGGAAUGUGAUGGACACACUUUGGAGGCUCUUUAGCAAAUUAGCACCAACUAAUUUGGACCUGUUAUAUGCUGAGAAUUGCUGCACAAAAACAUCUUCUAGAUGCAGAACAAAAUCAAGGAAGUGCUGGGAUGGUAGGAUUAAUCCUUGAGAUUGUGCUCUCGUUGUAGUUCUUAUAAUAACAGUACAACAAAUUUGCAGAAUCUGCAGUUUGGGACAUGGUGGCUGGCUUCUUUGCACAAAGAGCAUUCGUGAACAGUGAAGCACUUCUUGAGAAGGUAUCUGGCAACAUAUGCAACAGCAUUUUGUUGGACAAUGCUGGAACUGACUUCUUUCUCUCUGUAGUCUGUUACUCCUAACACCAAUGUUUGUGGUUGAUGACCUGGUCUCACCAAUGCUGCAUUGUUAGAGCGGUUUGAAAGUUGGGAAAGGAGUGAAUCCAAAUCUUGUGCACAGUUACCAUUGCCAGAGGUGAAAAGAGAACUGAAGUUUCCUAAAGGCCCUAGUGAACUGUAUUGGUGUAGGGUUGUCACUAUUCCCUCCCUGUUGCCUUAUUGUACCAAAAAAGCUACAGCACUUGCAUUUUGGGUGUGGAGAAGAAAUUUUAGUUUUAAAGCAAAAGUUAACCCCUCAAUGCAAAUGACAAUUUUCUUGCAUUUUAAUUGAAAGUCAUAGUUUUCUCAAAUAUAUUUAAUUUAAUUUAUAAAAUAGGUAUUAAGUGAGUUCAGUAAUUAUAAAAAGAGAAAUCUACUUUGGACUGUUUUUGACAAUUUUGCCUGUUCUGCAAAACAAAGAUAUACACACACAAAUUGUUUGGAAAAAUAUAAAAAAAUAUAAAUAUAUUUAUUGGCAUACAAAACAUUGUCACACUCAGUUUUCACUGCAAAUAAUUUCCAUUCACUUCUUUCCCAACACUAAUAUUUCUAUCUCUGUGUGGAAAUUCCAGUCAUUUGUAACCAUAGUACUCUAUAUAGAUCUAUUGCAAUGGCAAACUUGUAAAAUAAAAUAAAAUAACCAUCAUUGUUUGAGCAAAUAACAUCCAUGAAGAUUUAUUUUAUAAAGAAAUCACAUCAUCCAAAAUUUGUAUCAGUAGCGUAGCCAGCCCGACGAUUUAGUCCCGCUAUGCAAAUAUUUUCGUGGUCAUUGACUGUGAAAACAAUCAAUUUCUAAAGAAAUGAAUAAUGGUAAUAAUUUCGAAUUUGCAUAGCGGGACUAAGUUGUCUGGCUGCGCUCUAGACAACUGGCUGCGCUCAUAGCGGGACUAAGUUGUCUGGCUCGGGCUGGCUGCGCCACUGAUUUGUAUACAAUGAUAUGUACAGUACUAAUUCUAAUAAAAGCCAGGACUAGAACUCUGAUUGUCAUCACAGCCAUUUCCUUUCUGUCAAAUGUUUUUGUGUAUAACAGGUCCAAAUUAUAAUAGUUUUGUUUGUGGAAACACCACGUAAAUUUAUUAAUUAUUAAUAAUAAAUUUACGUGGUGUUUCCACAAACAAAACUAUUAUAUUUUAUCACCAUGCAAACAUACAAAGAACUUAGGUCCAAAUUAGUUGGUGCUAAUUUGCUAAAGAGCCUCCAAAGUGUGUCCAUCACAUUCCAUUCUUGCACAGAGUUUCCUAUGGACUACAUGUUAAAGCUUUUUCUGAGGAUGCGUAUAUAUUACACCAUCAACUAACUUCAACUAAAAAAGGAAGAAAGAGCAGAAAGUACAUUAAAUUAAAGUUAGCCAUCUAUAAACUAGCCUGCAUAUAGCAGUUUAUAAACUAUAUUCUACAUAGUUUGAUGCCAUCUGGGCUGCAUCUGAAUAAGUUGGGCAAAAUUUAGUAGAAAAAUAUCUAAUUCAAGAAAACAGUGAACUUAAAAAGACAUGUUUAUUAAACUUGGCAGAGAAAUGGUGAUGAAAAGACAUAUAUACUGACACUGUAAUGGGCCAUUCCAUUUAUUAACCGCACCCCCCCUAUUGAGGGUUUACAAAAAAUACCCCCUGGAUAUUGCUUUAGUAAUAGGGUAUGUGGAUUUCUCAUUUUAACAUUUCCCGUGGAUUUUCUAAACCUUUGUUAACCUAUUGAGGGUUAAACAUAAUUUCUCCCCCUGGAUUUUUGGAUUUUGUUAAAUUUGUUCAAUGGAUAUUUUGCAUAUGUUCUUUGAAAUAGAAUUAAUACACAAAUAAAU